AAGGCAUCAUGCACUUGAAAAAUUUCUGAAGACUUGAGAUUGUAUUUGCUCCAGAGGAGUUCUUUUGAUGAAAGAGAUCAAGUCAUAUAGGAAUGUUCUUCCCUCUCUAUGAGUGUAAGCUGUGUGGGUCCUUUCAAAACUUUAGGUCUCAGUGAAUCAUCACAUGAGAGCCAGUAUGCCAAAUUAUACUGAGACCGGGAUGUCUGAUAUAAUUGUAAGAAGUGGAGAGGUAGACCAGUUCUGAGAUUCAUAAUCCAGACUCUGCACUGGAUGAGGACUGAUGCUUCUUGCGUGACCUCCCAAGUAUUUAUUUAUGUAACACCUAUUGAAUGAAGAUGUGUGAAGAUGUAAGGAUGAAAGAAAGGUUCCUCCCUUCAACAGCCUCCAUUCACUCUAUAUAAUGCUAUAUAUCCAUUUAAGCCUGAAUGUAAUUGAAAUCUAAUUCAAUAUUACUCCGGCAAAAAUGAGAAAAAAAAGGGUAGUUUAAUGGAAGAUUAAUUGUGUAGGGGAAGCAAACUAGUCAGUUAUUUUGUGGGUGUUUUUGUGUUCCUUGGAAAGUAUUGUGAGCAAUUAAUUAGUAUGCAGACCUCGUAUUCUCUAGCGGUAUCUUGACUAUAGCUAAAGAAGAAUAAUAUUUGGCAAGAAGUGAUUAUAAAUUAUUUUAAAAAAUCAAACAUAAAAGAAAAGUGAACUUUCUGGUUCCUUAAGUAGGCCUAUGGAGACACAGUGGCAGAGCCAGGUGGAUUAUUCUCCUUGAUUUUCAAAAUCAGUGUUUUAAUGGAGGGCUAAUUACGUAGAAGAGAAGAAAUGAUGGUAUGCAAGAAAAACAAAUUGUAUAGAUAAAAGCUCUUUUUGUGUGUGGUGGGGAGGAGAUUUACACAUUUUGGUGGUAGAUUUGGACAGAACUAGAAUUUCCAUGUAUUUUGGCGUUGGGCAGCAGAACAGCCGAAGUCUUAGUAAAACACACAUACACACAGAGAUGUGCACACACAGGCACACACUCACAGAAACGUGCCUCACACAGCAUUCCUGUUUUUAAAAAACUAUUAAAACGUGCCUGUGUUUCCCUCUAUUGUCCUUCUUGGUACCUCUUUCUUCCUUUUUUUUCUCCUUCCUCCCUUCCUUUCCUUUUUCCCAUUUAGGCUGGAAACGACUCUUUCUCUAUUGAAAAACCUUCACAACUGCGGUCAUUUCACAUGCAACUCAGGUCCUUAGUUUCAGACCAUCUGCUGCCCUCUUGUGGCCAUACAAUCCACCUAUCCAUGCCCCAACUCUAAGACCCUGAUGGUUUUUGUCAGUUGAAAUGUUUUUUUCUCAGAUGAAACGGACAUCUCAAAUUAUAAAAAAGCUAUUUUUACUGUCAUAUAUUACACCAUUAUCUUCUAAUACACUUCUCUAAAGUAUGUAAAAAAUAUAUAAUGUUUGUAAUCGUAUUAAAGACAACAUAUUCCUAUACAUCAUGGAGUGAUUGUUAUAUCUUUCAGGGAUAUUUGAAAGUAGCGCAUUUCACUCAUUCAUGUGGAGUCUUCACCUGAUGGAUGCCUCAUUCUGUGAAUAAACUGGCGGUGUUGAUCUACAGCUGUAUACAGACCACAUCUUUCUUCUAAAGCUGCAAGGCACACAUUUAAACUCAAAUCUCAGAGAUUGCAACACCUAGAUUGCAGUACAAAUUGGUAUGACCGACCAGACCCAGCAACCAUCGAUCUUCAUUCUUCCUGCCACCCUGAAAACUGAAACCUUUUGUAGCAAGAGGUAACUAAAAUUCUGAAGUCGGCUUGCAAUAAAGGGAAGCAACAACUUUAAGAUUGGACUGAAAUAUCUGACAGCUCUCUGAAACAAAACAAAAACAAAAUGUACCCAGGUUUCAGUUACGCUCUAUUUGGUUUCUUUUCUUGUUAAAUAAGUGCUGGCAUAUAACUCAUUAGACACCUUGUGGGCCGCCCCACAAAGAUGUGGGCAGUUCAAUUUAGAGUAAGUGGGAGGUGUAUAAUUCAGAGUUUACACUUCUAGAUAAAUCAGGCUUCAGCAUGAGAUUUUUGCCAUAUACUUCAGAUAAUCUUAUUUCCCUAGCUGCUGGCUCAAAUUUGAAUUUAAACAGAAAUACAAACAAUACAUAGAGGGGGGAAAGUUUUCCAAUAACAAUUUCCAUUAAUAAUGAAAAUUUGUUUGAGGAAGUAAACACCUCUUAGAACUUGUUUUCCUGAUUCAUUCCUUCAUUUUGGAGUAGACAGGAAAACUAUGUCCUUAUCUAGGAGGCUGAAGGCAGAUCAUCUGUUUGGUCUAUUCUCAAGUGGUUCUAAAACCUUUUUAACUAGUCUUGGAGACAUGUUUAACUGUUGGUCAGAGAAUGUGCUUUUACUAGAAAGAGCUUCAGCAGAUUCUCUCUUCUUGGUGUCUAGUGAUUUCUGCCCAACCCUUGGCCUUUCCUGGGACAGUUUGUGCUCAAACUGGAUGAUCACAUGUCUCCAAGUGUAGCUUGACCUAAGUCUGUUUAAUGGGUAGACAGGGCAUUAGAAGUGGUUGCGGAUUUUUCUUCUAUCAGAAAAAUAUAUAUUAAAAACAAAACAGCAACAAUAAAAAGUACAAGACAAAAACAAGCAAACAAACAAACAGAAAACUGGAGUAUCUCUCAUUUGAGAAAUAUCCCUUCUCCCUCAAGAUGAUUAGAAUUCUGUGGCAUAUAGUUUCCACAGUUAUCAAGAUGAGGUUUACUAUUAGGCCUCAACAGACAAAAUAACACCACAACACACUGCUCUUUGCCAACUAUAUGGCCAAAGAUUUACAAAUGAAUAACUAUUUCACUCAAUGCUAAUUAUGGUAUGAUGGUACUAGCAUUCUCAUUCCCAGCUGUUGCUAGUUGUGGUAGACUAUUUGCAACAAAUGACAGAAGUUCCCUUACUUGAAAGAAUCCCCCCUUGCCAUGUAAUUUUGCAAAUCCCCUCAUCAACAGAUGGAGUAUCCUUGCCCUUCUCUUUAACCUGGGCUGGCCUUGUGACUUUCUUUGACCAACAGAGUGUGGUGGAAGUGAUUCUUGACCCAGACAUAAUGACACUUUUAUGUCUGCAUAUAACAUCAUGAGAAGCUUUCUUGCUCUUAUUCUGCCCUUGUCUGUAGUGGAGAAUCAUCUGUUAUUGCUAUUUGAGAUCACAAGUCAUUACCUUCCUGAGGAAUGGACUCUGUUAUUAAAUUCACUCUCAUCUUUCUGAUUUAGAUUUCUCCUAAUACUGAUUUCUCCUAAUCCUCCCUCAGAAAGACUGAUUUCUACUGCUUAAUUCUAGGCACAGCUUACUUUCAGAAUACACAUUUUGACCAAACUCUUCAUAAACUGUGUAGAACCAGACAAGGGUGGGGUAAGUAAAUAAAACAAGGCGCUUAGAUUGGAUGCAAUAUUUAAGGGGCACCAAAAACGCAAAAGUCAAGAGAAAUAAUAGUUUAAUGCAGUAUUAUAAAAAAUCAAAAUCAAUGCAAAAGUCCAUAAUGAACACACUAUCAGAAAUUUAAACAAAGACAUGAUGAGUAUGGAACCAUGUAAGAUGGAUUUGGGCUAAAUAUAUCUAAGUUAAAUUUCUUUACUUUGACAGUUGUUACUUGUGAGGCCUCAGAAAAUUUAUAUUCUCCAAAUCUCUGUUUUGUCAUUUGCAUAAUGGAACUAUUAUUUUCUGUGGGUUAUUUAAAAGAGUAAAUAAAAUAAGGCAUAAACUACUUAGCCUGUUCUUACCACAUAUUACUACCCAGUGUUAAUGAUUUGUC
rnacentral:lncRNA from 1 species